CCCUGGUAUAGGUGUCAGUCACAGUCAGGUGUUCACAUAGGUGUCUCAAGAUACAGGUGUCUAACCCUGAUGUCAGAAUUGUCUAUGGUGUAAGUGUCAUAGUCUCAGUCAGGUGUCUCAAGAUGCAGGUGUCUAACCCUGAUGACAGAACUGUCCAUGGUGUAGGUGUCACAGUCUCCAGUCAGAUGUUCCAGCAGGUGUCUAACCCUGAUGACAGAACUGUCCAUGGUGUA